rnacentral:tRNA from 1 species
UGGUCACCGGGCAGACCGACGCCGCGGUGCUCCGGCUGCCGCAGGCGGUGCUGCCCGGGGUGGCCGGGCAGAUCCUCACCGGCGUGAUCAU